rnacentral:rRNA from 1 species
UAAUUGAAGAGUUUGAUCAUGGCUCAGAUUGAACGCUGGCGGCAGGCCUAACACAUGCAAGUCGAGCGGUAACAGGAGAAAGCUUGCUUUCUUGCUGACGAGCGGCGGACGGGUGAGUAAUGUAUGGGGAUCUGCCCGAUAGAGGGGGAUAACUACUGGAAACGGUGGCUAAUACCGCAUAAUGUCUACGGACCAAAGCAGGGGCUCUUCGGACCUUGCACUAUCGGAUGAACCCAUAUGGGAUUAGCUAGUAGGUGGGGUAAAGGCUCACCUAGGCGACGAUCUCUAGCUGGUCUGAGAGGAUGAUCAGCCACACUGGGACUGAGACACGGCCCAGACUCCUACGGGAGGCAGCAGUGGGGAAUAUUG